rnacentral:sRNA from 1 species
AGCAGCCGCGGUAAUUCUAGCUCCGAUAGCGUAUAUUAAAGUUGUUGCAGUUAAAAAGCUCGUAGUUGAAUUUCGGGAUCAAUUGAUUGGUCAUGCCUUGGUAUGAACUGGUCAUAUUGGUUCUCACCUUCUAAUGAACCAUAAUGUCAUUCACUUGAUGUUAUGGGGAAUUAGGACUGUUACCUUGAAAAAUUAGAGUGUUUAAAGCAGGCUUACGCUUGAAUACAUUAGCAUGGAAUAAUGAAAUAGGACAUCGCAUUCUAUUUUGUUGGUUUCUAGGAUCGAUGUAAUGAUUAAUAGGGAUAGUUGGGGGCAUUAGUAUUCAAUUGUCAGAGGUGAAAUUCUUGGAUUUAUUGAAGACUAACUACUGCGAAAGCAUUU